rnacentral:rRNA from 1 species
GCUAAUACCGCAGACGUCCUACGGGAGAAAGCAGGGGACCUUCGGGCCUUGCGCUAUCAGAUGAGCCUAGGUCGGAUUAGCUUGUUGGUGAGGUAAUGGCUCACCAAGGCGACAAUCCGUAACUGGUCUGAGAGGAUGAUCAGUCACACUGGAACUGAGACACGGUCCAGACUCCUACGGGAGGCAGCAGUGGGGAAUAUUGGACAAUGGGCGAAAGCCUGAUCCAGCCAUGCCGCGUGUGUGAAGAAGGUCUUCGGAUUGUAAAGCACUUUAAGUUGGGAGGAAGGGUUGUAGAUUAAUACUCUGCAAUUUUGACGUUUCCGACGAAUAAGCACCGGCUAACUCUGUGCCAGCAGCCGCGGUAAUACAGAGGGUGCAAGCGUUAAUCGGAAUUACUGGGCGUAAAGCGCGCGUAGGUUGUUUGUUAAGUUGGAUGUGAAAGCCCCGGGCUCAACCUGGGAACUGCAUCCAAAACUGGCAAGCUGAGAACGGUAGAGGGUGGUGGAAUUUCCUGUGUAGCGGUGAAAUGCGUAAUUUAGGAAAGGAACACCGUGGCCAAAGCACCACCUGGACUGAUACUGACCCUGACGUGCGAAAGCGUGGGGAGCAAACGGGAAUAGAUACCCCGGUAGUCCACGCCCGUAAACAUUC